rnacentral:rRNA from 1 species
ACAUCCAGAGAACUUAGCAGAGAUGCUUUGGUGCCUUCGGGAACUCUGAGACAGGUGCUGCAUGGCUGUCGUCAGCUCGUGUUGUGAAAUGGUUGGGUUAAGUCCCGCAACGAGCGCAACCCUUAUCCUUUGUUGCCAGCGGUUCGGCCGGGAACUCAAAGGAGACUGCCGGUGAUAAACCGGAGGAAGGUGGGGAUGACGUCAAGUCAUCAUGGCCCUUACGGCCAGGGCUACACACGUGCUACAAUGGCGCAUACAAAGAGAAGCGACCUCGCGAGAGCAAGCGGACCUCAUAAAGUGCGUCGUAGUCCGGAUUGGAGUCUGCAACUCGACUCCAUGAAGUCGGAAUCGCUAGUAAUCGUAGAUCAGAAUGCUACGGUGAAUACGUUCCCGGGCCUUGUACACACCGCCCGUCACACCAUGGGAGUGGGUUGCAAAAGAAGUAGGUAGCUUAACCUUCGGGAGGGCGCUUACCACUUUGUGAUUCAUGACUGGGGUGAAGUCGUAACAAGGUAAGCGUAGCGAG